rnacentral:rRNA from 1 species
AGCAUAUCAAUAAGCGGAGGAAAAGAAACCAACAGGGAUUGCCUCAGUAACGGCGAGUGAAGCGGCAACAGCUCAAAUUUGAAAUCUGGCGCCUUCGGCGUCCGAGUUGUAAUUUGUAGAGGAUGCUUCGGCGAGGGCCCCCGUCUAAGUCCCUUGGAACAGGGCGUCACAGAGGGUGAGAAUCCCGUAUGUGAUGGGCGGCCCGAGCCGUGUGAAGCUCCUUCGACGAGUCGAGUUGUUUGGGAAUGCAGCUCUAAAUGGGAGGUAAAUUUCUUCUAAAGCUAAAUACCGGCCAGAGACCGAUAGCGCACAAGUAGAGUGAUCGAAAGAUGAAAAGCACUUUGGAAAGAGAGUUAAAAAGUACGUGAAAUUGUUGAAAGGGAAGCGCUUGCAACCAGACUCGCGCGCAGUUGCUCAGCCGGUCUCCUGACCGGUGUACUCUUCUGCGUCCGGGCCAGCAUCAGUUCGGGCGGUCGGAUAAAGGCCUCGGGAAUGUGGCUCCCCUCGGGGAGUGUUAUAGCCCGGGGUGCAAUGCGGCCAGCCCGGACUGAGGAACUCGCUUCGGCUAGGAUGCUGGCGUAAUGGUUGUAAGCGGCCCGUCUUGAAACACGGACCAAGGAGUCUAACAUCUAUGCGAGUGUUUGGGUGUCAAACCCAUGCGCGUAAUGAAAGUGAACGGAGGUGGGAACCCUCACGGGUGCACCAUCGACCGAUCCUGAUGUCUUCGGAUGGAUUUGAGUAAGAGCAUAGCUGUUGGGACCCGAAAGAUGGUGAACUAUGCCUGAAUAGGGUGAAGCCAGAGGAAACUCUGGUGGAGGCUCGCAGCGGUUCUGACGUGCAAAUCGAUCGUCAAAUUUGGGUAUAGGGGCGAAAGACUAAUCGAACCAUC